GCUUGGUCAACAGAUCUUGUGAUCAUGAAUUAGAUCUAACUAGAGACGUGGUCACCAAUUCCAACUCAAAAACUUAGACUUUGGUGGUGAUCAAAGUCUAAGACUAUUAUUAUUGAAAUGAAGAUUACAUCGGAAAUUCAAGCUCUAAAUGGCUUUUUUGUACACAGAAUGUAACAAAUCCUCAAUCUUUUCUCUUUUGUUUAGUAUAAUCUCAAAUCUUAUGAAGAUGCGAUGUGGUCCUUUCAAGAGAAGUCAAGGAAGCCUUUGCUAGGAGGACUUGGAGUUACAUCUCAUCUUAAUUAGAUUAGAACCAUUGCACUAUUACGUGUUAACACAACCCAAAUGAGUAAGUGGAGGAGAGCAUCAAGCUCAAUUUUAAGACAAGACGAUUACCUUUUCAUCAAUGAACUUAGCCCAGAAACGGGCCAUUGCUCUCUUGUACGGAUCUCGUGGCAAUAUCGGGUUGUCAUUCCAUGUCUCGUCGAUGUACUCAAGAAUCACCUGAGACUCUGCGAUGGGUUUGCCAUUGUGGACAAGCACGGGUAUCUUCUUGUGCACAGGGUUGUACUUGAGAAGUAAAGCGCUCUUGUUGUGGAAUAUGUCUUCCUCUAAGUACUCAUAUUCAACACCUUUGAUCUUUAGAGCUAUCUCGAUUCGCCGGCUAAACGGGCUCCCCCACACACCAAAUAGCUUCAAUUCUUCACCCAUCUAUCGAAACACAGUCGCCCGCUCUCACACAGAUAGAAGCACUCUUCUUGUGUAGUGGCUAAGUGAGAACUUGUGAGAAUGGCUUGUUUUCCUGUUGGCUUCUUAUAGGGUUCAAUUUCAGAGAUGAUUCCUUCGCGCGCAAGACAGCCCAUCAACAUCGAUGUUGUUUUGUCGAAGUUAAUGCUGGAAAAUCUUGGAGUGUGCGGUUCCGUGACUUAUGGUCUAUGUUGUUUAGUCAAAGAAAUACUACGAAGUUUUUUAGUGGGCUUCUCGAAGACUUAUUUAUUGCCCAAGAAAUAAGCAGAUUGGCUGAACCGAAUUUUGAUACGUCACCCACAAAGAAAAAUUAUUCAAUUUAGAGGGUAGGGUCGUCCGAUGCACAGUUCAGCGCGGACAUAAUUAUUAAAAAUGGACAGACUCGUAUUAUAGGAUAGCUUCAUUCAAUUUAGAUUAGGUAUAUGACGUCAUUUGAAAAGACGACCACUAACUUUCUAGUGAUAAUCGUUGUGACACGAGUAACGUGGAAAUUAAUGAAUUUGCAACUAAAUCAAACGCGAAAGAAAACAAAAUUAUCAAUUAAGUUGAGAUUAAUGAAUGAAGAGAAAUAAUAUUCUGUUCAUUGACUAAUGCAUAGCACGUGUCUAUUUAUAAGCUUUACAUAACGACUAUCUAAAGUAACACAUAAGAAUAAAUCAAAGAGACUAUAUAGAAUCAUUGAAUAUCCCAAAUAUAUCUUUAAUAACCCCCAAACUCAAGAUGAUUUCAAAGAAGUCAACUUAAGUUUGGAAAAUAAAUCUAGGAAACGCCUAGGUGAAUGUGUCUUGGUGAAAGCAACAAAUGAAGUAGAGACAAAACAAACGGUGUCGGGAAGAAUGUGAUAUUGGGAUGAAUCGACAGUCUAUCUCAAUGUGCUUGGUGCGUUAAUGAAAAACAUUGUUAUGUGCAAUUUGGGGUAGCACUUUGAUUGUCACAAUGAAUGACUUGUUCUGCUAUGAUGGCGNNNNNNNNNNNNNNNNNNNNNNNNNNNNNNNNNNNNNNNNNNNNNNNNNNNNNNNNNNNNNNNNNNNNNNNNNNNNNNNNNNNNNNNNNNNNNNNNNNNNGCAUCUCAUAGCAUAUUGAUGCUUAAUUAAACUGUGAUUCGUCAUUAUCACGGACGAUCACUAUCAAGAAGCAACAGACUCCUAAAAUACCAUUCGAAUAAACUUUUAUUACAGCAAAAAAUGACAUAACACAAACACAAAGAACCCAAUCAAACCACAACCCAAGGAAGACCCAAAACUCACGCUUAUUCUUAUAAAAGCUAGUUAUCAUCUCGGCUUGUACCUUGAAGAAGGCCAAGAACUUGUCUUUCGGAGGAAGAUUCUCCUUGAUGACCGGGCGGUUCUGAAAUUCUUCGGCCCACUUGCACAGCAACGGGAACUCGCCCUCAGUCAGGACGUCGGCUCCGACCGCUUCUUGGAUGACUCCGACCCAAUAUCCGACGAAGUUGGCCAUGAUGUCGACGAACCCGACAGUCUCCCCUCCGAAGAACUUCUUGCCCUUGAGCUCGCCUUCGAGAGUGCUUAAAAGCAGACGUGCUUCUUCAUGCGCCUUUUCCCUUUCGGCCCCUAUGCUCGUGCAGGAUUUCCAGAGAGUUUGCAUGCACUGUUCAUAGUGGAAAUAACAAACUUUUUAUGGUGAAAUGAUCAACUGAUCAGGACGUAGAUCUUACUAGAGAGGUUGUGGUCAGCAAUUGUAACUCAAAAAUGCAGACUCUAGUGGUGAUCGAAGUCUGAAAUUAUUAUUAUCAUCAAAAGGAAGAUUGCAUCAAAAAUUUAAGCCCUAAUUAUUUUUGUACCCAUAAUGUAAUAAAUCCUCGACUUUUUCUCUUUUGUGCAAUAUAAUCUCGAAUUUUAUGCAAAUGCAAUAUGGUCCUUUCGAGAUUGUGCAUAAUGACUCUAUUGCCUUUUUACGAUCGAGGUCUAUGACUCCCGAUAUGAUUACUUGGUUUCCAAAGCAUGUUAAUGAUGUUAAGAACAUGCAUAUUCUUUUUCCCUUUAAGACUAGCUGUAUUAGGUUAUUUUUAAGACAAUCGCUAAUCUAGACAUUGGAAAAGGAUGAUAAAGUCAGUCAGUCGCUCAUGGGUAUUAAAUUAAAAUCUUAGGGAUUGGAAACACGAGAGGCUUAUGUGCUCUAGGGCAAGCUUUAGCAUAGAAUCUGGGUUCCUCAAACGAGCAAAGGACUAAAAUUAUAGAAAUGGUUUUAGAUAACACUUGACUUUUCGAAUGCUUAUGGUGCGUUUGGUUUAGCAUCCCCAAGGGACUUUUAGCCUCCAAAGCCUCUUAGGAAAAUGUUGUACUGUUUAGCAACAAUUUUGAAGUAACUUUUAAUUGAAAGUCAGCAUUGUGAAGGUUGAAAGUUUAAUGCUAGUAGGGAUUAGCUUUAAGUUUUUAGCAUUUGGCUAACUGUUAAAAUUAUUUUUUCUUUCAAAACUAUCCUCACUCAUCCUUCAAAUUUCUGAUUUUGCCCUCAUUAUUUUUUUUAAAUGCCAAAAUAAAGCUAAAAAAUUAAAUAUAUUUUGGUCUUUUAAAAAAAUUAUUUAUAUAUUUGAUUUUUUGAGCAUUAUUGUCAAAAAUUAUAUUUAAAAAGUUGCAUAUUUUUUUUUUCAAUUUCAAACAAAUAAAAAUUUAAAAAUUCCGACGAAGGGUUUGGUCUUUUUAAAAAAAAUUUAUAUAUAUGUAUUUGAUUUCUUAGCAUUAUUUUCAAAUUUAUAUUCAAAAAGUCACAUACAUUAUUUUUCAAAUAUAAAAAAAUAAAAAAUAAAAAAUUUCAACGAAGAAUGGUCUUUUUUAAAUAUAUAUAUUUGAUUUUUUUAGUAUUAUUGUCAAAAUUUAUAUUUUAAAAGUUGCAUACAUUAUUUUUUUUUCAAUUUUAACCAAUUCAAAAUUUAAAAAUUCUGAUGAAGGGUUUGGUCCUUUUAAAAAAAAAAAUUAUAUAUAUGUAUUUGGUUUUUUAGCAUUAUUUUCGAAUUUAUAUUUAAAAAGUUGCAUAGAUUAUUUUUUCAAUUUUGAACAAAUAAAAAUUAAAUGAUUCCCACGAAGGAUUUGGUCUUUUUUUUUUUAAAAAUUAUAUAUAGGUAUUUGAUUUUUUAGCAUUAUUGUGAAAAUUUAUAUUUAAAAAGUUGCAUACAUUAUUUUUUUUUCAAUUUUAAGAAAAUAAAAAUUAAAAAAAUUCCAAUGAAGGGCUUGGUCUUUUAAUAUAUAUAUAUAUAUAUAUAUAUAUAUAUAUGUAUGUAUUCAAUUUUUUUAGUGUUAUUGUCAAAAUUUAUAUUUAAAAAGUUGCAUACAUUAUUAUUUUUUUCAAUUUUAAACAAAUAAAGUUUUAAAAAGUAAUAUUAAUCACCCAAAGAGCUUUUCAAAUGUGUUUUCUGCCAAACAACAUUUCUCUCAAAAUUGCUUCUCAAAGCAUAGUUUACCAAAUGGCCUUUGCAUUUGCCUAAAGUCCUUUAGGCUAAAUUGCUUUACAUUUUCCCAAUGAGCUUUCAAAAUACCAAAUCAAACGCACCCUUAGUCUUUCAAAAACCCAGAUGUAUAACCAGCAAAUACAGGCACUUUUCAAUGUACUCGAGCCUAAGAUUCAGCUAGCCUAUCAUACUUCACAGUUUCCAAUCUCGCACUUUUUAAUGUCUUCCACACCAGUCAAAGCUAACCCCAAUUAUCCCGCAAUGAACUAAUAACAUCUUCCGGCUCUUAACUCUGCUUGGCUCAUUAAGCCUCUGGUGUUCACUCAACUUUUGCAUAUUAAGUGUCAACACACAACCUGAAUCAAUACGUUACAAAGAGCAUCAAGCUCAAUUUUAAGACGAGAAUGAUUACCUUUUCAUCCAAGAACUUAGCCCAGAAACGAGCCAUCGCUCUCUUGUACGGAUCUCGUGGCAAGAUCAAGUUGUCCUUCCAUGUCUCGUCGAUGUAUUCGAGAAUCACGUGAGACUCCACGAUGGGUUUGCCAUUGUGGAUGAGCACGGGUACCUUCUUGUGCACUGGGUUGAACUUGAGAAGCGCAGGGCUCUUGUUGUGGAGUAUGUCCUCCUCCGAGUACUCAUAUUUGACACCUUUCAUCUUUAGAGCUAUCUCGACUCGCCAGCUAAACGGGCUCCCCCAUGCACCCAAUAACUUCAAUUCUUCACCCAUCUGUCCGAACACGGUCUCACGCUCCAACAGACGCCGAGAAACGCUCUUCUUAGGUAGUAGCUAAGUAAGAACUUAAGAGAGUCGCUUGUUUUUUGGUUGGCUUCUUAUGGAGUUCAAUUUGGGUGAUGUUUCCUUAACGCGUAAGUCAGCCCAUCAACAUCCAUAUUGUUUGGUCAAAUCCAAUGCUUAGAAAAUUCUGGAGUUGGUGGUUCGAAGACCUAUCGUUUUAUGAUAAUUAGACAAAUUCAAUAUGACGAAAAUGUUGGAGAUUGGCUUGUUUUUUGGUUGGCUUCUUAUGGAGUUCAAUUUGGGUGAUGUUUCCUCAGCGCGUAAGUCAGCCCAUCAACAUCCAUAUUGUUUGGUCAAAUCCAAUGCUUAGAAAAUUCUGGAGUUGGUGGUUCGAAGACUUAUGUUUUAUGAUAAUUAGACAAAUUCAAUAAGACGAAAAUGUUGGAGAUUGGCUGAACCGAAUUUUAUACAUCGCGGACACUAUAUAUAUAUAUAAUUUAAAUAUAGGAAUCAUCGGACAUACCGUUCAACGUGGAUAGUGAAGAAAAUAAAGAAUGAAUCAAUGAAGUGUGAUAUAGCUAGUAUAAGCACCUAGAGGGGGGUGAAUAGGUGUAAAAAUAAUUUCACGAGAUAUGAAAGCUAUACUAGACAAACAACAGAAAUGAAGCUCUCCUUUAGUUAACAAAUCGAACUAUGAUCAAAGUAAAGCAGAGAGUAGGGAAGAGAAAAUUGAACACAAGGUUUAUAGUGGUUCGGCUUAUUCCAAGCCUACGUCCACUCUUCUGCACUGACAGCCCACUGGCUGGAUUUCACUAUGAACAAAAGAGAUGUUACAGCACUGCUUUCCAUUGAUUCCACAGUGUAGAUAUUCUACCGCACUUCCUCAAGGUAUCUCAAAAUAUAGACUCUCUUUUGUGUACAAGAUUUCGCUCAGUAAGUGAAUUGACUAAGAAUCAAAGAGCUUCAGACUUUGGAAUUCUUCUAUCGUGCACCACCUCGAACAACUAGAACGUAUUCCUUUUAUACUCCUUUGUGCCAUCAUACCCGUUGGCACUUACCAAAGGAAUUAUUCCAAUCCUCCCGUUGGACAGAAUCAAUUAGGAAGAUCAUUCGAGCUAUUAAAGGAACAUGUCGAUAGCCCAUCAAUCCUGCUCGCCUAUACAAUCAGGAUCUUGGUUUCCAUAAGUAGAACAUUCCAAGAAUACUUCGCCAAUCAUCGGAUUUUUAAUCAUUCUUGAUUUGAAUAAAUGAAUCCGUUAUGUCAUAUCCAGCCAAGAGAUCUUCUCCAGUUGAUAAGGCCAAAUCCUUAAUGAAGCAGUUCUGGAUAGCCUAACUUCAACGGAUUAGAAACUGUCAAUGAGAAUAGACUUUGAGUCUUGAGUCUGGUAGUCUAGAGGUCUUCAGACUUUUAUAGAAGAGUCUGCAAAACUUCAGACUAGACUGAUAUAAACGUUUUGUCAGCUUCAAAAUAUUCCAGAAAGAUUUCUCUAACAAUCUCCCCAUUUUUGAUGGUGACAAAACUUUCCUGCAGAUUUGAAUAACUUUGACCUACAAAACAUUACUCAAGCAAAUAUGGAUAUCUCAUAAAGAUUAAUGGCUUAAUGAUAACAUUAGAAUCUGCAACCACAUAAAAUAUGUUAGUCUUGCAUGAGAGUAAAGCCAUUCAUAAGAUAUCAAUAGUACUUAAUAUAAGCAGCAGUCAAAUCCAAAUCCACGUCCAGUCAAUCCUCAUCCAGACACAGACACACAAGUCAAACAUCAAAACAAACUGAAAAUUCAACAAGUUUAAGUUCAAAGAUUUCAAAUCUCGCAUCUCUCCCCCUUUUUGUCAUCAUAAAAAAGGUUGAGAUAGGAAUAGAAUGGAGUCAAGUUUGCUUGGGAAUGCGAACAAGCUGGAAAUCUCCCAUGGACUGGAUGAUGCCUUCCAGCUUUUUCAAUUCUUCCUUCAGUUGAUCCACCUCUUCACCUUUAGCAUUGGCUUGAAUCUGAAGAGCAAGGGCUUGGAUCUGAUCAGAUAAUGAAACGGAAGAAGCUUGUCCUGCAUUCUUCAAGUUCUGAACUUCGCUUUCCAAAACAUAUAUCUGACCCUGCAUUUCCAAAAGAACAUCAAUGAUUCUGCGAAACCUGUUGAGUUAUUAGUCUGCGUACUGGCUUCGGCACGAUCUGAUGGAGUAAAGGCAGACGAUGGUAUAUCAGCAUAAUCACGCAGAUUUGGCGAUGAAGCAUCAUGUCCCUCCUCAGGAAAUUGAGAGGCAUGAAUGUCUUCUGGAUCUGCUGGAGAGCGGCUGACUCCUUCACUAAUAACAGGAUAUGAGGACAUUCCUCUGUUCUCACCAUCUCCCCAUGUUUCCAUGGUUUCAAGUGGAGAAGAGUGUUCCUCAUGCUCUCCUUCCUCUUGAUUUUCUCUUUCUUCUUCUUCUUCUUCUUCAAAUCUUUCCUCCCCCGCUUCUUUCUCUUCAGCUUAUUUCUCCUUUUCUUCCUUCUCCUCUGCUUCUUGCUCCUCUGCUUCUGUUUCUUCUUCUUCUUUCUCCUGUCCUUCUCUCUCCUCUGCUUCUUUCUCCUGUCGUUCCAUUGAUUUUGGAACAGAACAACUCAGCUUCUUCAAUGCUAUAGCAGAAAUUGUGAGGUCAUCCUCAUCAUCUUCAUCAGUAAUGAGAGCUUUUCUCUUUUUGGAUGGAGUAACCAUGGGCUCCUUCCAUUUUCUUUUCGCUGUUGAAGAGACUUGAUGAGAAUUGACAGGGGUUUUCUCCUUAAAUUUCUCCAAUGCCUUGUCGAGCUCUUUCAGACGCAUUUUGGACACCAUUUUCAGUCCUACCACCAUUUUGUCACAUGGUCGAACACAGAGAAUUUGUAGAGGCUGAAUAUUCAAAUGUCUGAAUAUCUUUGACACAAGACCUGGAUAAGGAAGUUGGCCCUUGUCCUUCACCACUGCUCUAUACAUGUGGAACAUAAUAGUGUGAGGAAGAGAAAACUUUUUCCCAGCAUUGAUGGCGUAUAUUAGCUUUGCCUCUGAGUUAGAAACAACAGUCUUGGAAGUUGAUUUCAGUCUGAGGCAAUUGAUCACAAUCUUGUGAAGCAGAAUGUUGAACGCACGCAUCCUUGAGUAGGAAAUCCUUCCCUCUGUCAUUCUGUCUUUAACAAGUUCCAAUGUGGCACGAGCUAUAGAGACACUGAUGGGUUGAUAUCUCCCUCUCUCAACCCCAAUAACAUCUGCCAACAUAUCCACAUCCACUACAAAGUCUUGAUCUCGGACACUGAAAGAGAUUCUAUUUGCAUCCAAGAAGCUAAGAUUUGAAUAGAAAUAUGCAGUUAAUUAAGCAUAGGCUUCUGUGGAGUCAGAACAGAACUGUUCAACUUGAAGAAAACUGAACUUUUCCCUCAAAUUGACAUUUACAGCAUCAAAGAAAUCAAAAUCUACACUCCUAGGGUUUAUCACCCCACGCUUCAACAAUUUGGAGUAUAGAUCCUUAUGUUCCUUCGAUCUAAACAACUCUGUUCUUUUUCCUCGAAUUUUCGCCGCAACACCCAUUCUCGGUUGAAAUUGGCUGUACAAUCUGUCAUCAUCAUUCUCAUCUAUUGGAUUAAAUCCCCCAACACGCGGAUCACUUGGGAUAUUUGCAAGGGUUUUUUCUGCCAACCCCUUAGGAGCAAUUUCCAAACUCUCCAUUUUUCGCAAAAAGAUGUACUCAUUUCCAUAUCCCUUGUCCUUAAGAAACUCAUCGAUGUAGUUCAAUGGAGUACCAGUGCUCUUUAACGCACGGUAAAGCUUAUAAAUAAAACAGGGCUUUUGAACUCUUACAGGAUCUGCGUCUUCAAUGAUUUCUUCCUCUUGUUGAUGACCAGCAUCCUGUGGACUAGAUGGUGGAGAAUGACGCUGCUGAGAAUGUUGUGGGCUCUGCUGCUGACUUGGUGACUCCUCUUCCUCGGUGAGAUCAAAGUGAGUAGGCCCCUCACUCAUUCGCCGUGGUCCCCUGCUUGCGAUUCUAGAAGACUUUCUUGAAGACGACAUCUUUCUCAGUCUUCGAAAGAUUCAUUGCUUGACUUUCCCAAGAAAGAUGACAACUUUUUCGAAGAUUAAACAAGGGAGGAAGACAGGAAUGGAGGAUCGAUGCUUUUUAGGGUUUUGGAGUUAAGUGAAGAGGAACCGACUGUAUAUCGCUGAGUUGAAAUGGGGGAAUGCUAAACGUUGUAAAGGAAGGUUAAAAGAUGCAUUCUAAAAAAAAUAACUGCCUUUUUCAAAAAUAGAUAACUGCCAUUAACUCUUUUUGAAAAGGAAAAAUUGCACUUUUCAUGGAAAUUGAAGAUAACAUAAAUCAAUUAUGAAUGGAUAAAUGAUCGUACCUUUACGAGAUUUAAUAUAAGAGAAAAUAAAAUAACUUACAGUUAAGAACCAUGAUUGUCUGAGACUGUGAGUCUCUAGACUUUAACUUCUUCAAGCUUCAAGAUGUUGAGUCUGGAACGGAUGAUUUCAAAUUGAUUUUUCUCCAAAGGCUUUGUAAAUAUAUCAGCCAGUUGGUUCUUUGAGUCAACAAACUGAAUCGAAACUUCUCCAUUUUGAACAUGAUCUCUAAUGAAGUGAUGUCGAAUCUCUAUAUGCUUUGCUCUUGAGUGAAGAAUUGGAUUUUUGGUAAGAUUGAUUGCACUGGUGUUGUCACAGUUAAUCUUCGUGCAUGAAUUUUCAAUCCCAAAAUCUCUUAGCUGUUGUUUUAUCUACAUAAUUUGUGAACAACAACUUCCAAGAGCUACAUACUCUGCUUCUGCUGUAGAAAGAGCUACUGUAUUUUGCUUCAUUGAAAACCAAGACACUGUCCUGCUUCCAAGUAAUUGACAGGUACCCGAGGUGCUCUUUCUAUCAACUCUGCAACUGGCUAGAUCUGCGUCUGAAUAUCCAAGGAGAGUAAAGUCUCCCUUUUUAGGAUACCAAAGGCCGAUGCUUGAAGUUGAAGCAAUGUAUUUGAUAAUACGCUUUGCAGCACUUAGAUGAGAUUCUUUAGGGUCUGCUUGAAAUCUGUCACAAAUGCAAACACUAAACAAUAUGUCAGGUCUAGAAGCAGUAAGAUAAAGAAGUGAACCGAUGAUACUCCUGUAUAGCUUCUGGUCAACUUUCUUUCCUUCUUCAUCUUUUUCUAUCUUCAAGGAACUUGACAUUGGUAUAUCAGAUUUUUUUGCAAUUUUCCAGUCCAAACUUUUUGACAAGAUCAUUAGCAUAUUUUUCUUGAUGAAUAAAAGUCCAUUCCUUCAAUUGUUUCACUUGAAGUCCAAGAAAGAAGGUUAGUUCACCCAUCAUGCUCAUUUCAAAUUCAUCCUGCAUAGACUUAGAGAAUUUCUUACACAAACUUUCAUUAGAGGAUCCAAAAAUGAUAUCAUCAACAUAUAUUUGAACAAGCAUAAAAAUUUUGCUUUCUCUUUUGAUAAACAGAGUAGUGUCUACUUUACUUUUUUCGAAGCCAUUUUGAAUUAAAAACUUACUCAGCCUGUUGUACCAAGCUCGAGGUGCUUGCUUUAAUCCAUAGAAGGCUUUUUUUUUUUUUUAGUAUGAAUACUGAGUCUGGCUUCCUUGGGUCUUCAAACCCAAGGGGUUGUUCCACAUAGACUUCCUCAUGGAUAAAUCCAUUCAGGAAAGCACUUUUGACGUCCAUUUGGAAUAACAUGAAAUUCUUAUAACAAGCAAAAGCAAGUAAUAAUUGAAUUGCUUCUAACCUUGCUACUGGUGCGUAAAUCUCGUCAUAGUCUAUCCCUUCUUCUUGCGUAUAUCCCUUGGCCAUGAGUCUUGCUUUGUUUCUUACGACUUUACCUUUUUCGUUCAUCUUGUUCCUGAAAACCCAUUUAGCUCCAAUAAUAGAUUUACCUUUUGGUUUAGGAGUCAACUCCCAGACAUCAUUAAUACUGAAUUGUUUGAGUUCUUCUUGCAUAUCUUCAAUCCAUCUUUCAUCAGAUAAAGCUUCUUCUAUGCUUUUUGGUUCUAUUUCAGAAAUAAGAGCCACAUCACUAGACUCUUCGCGCCUUUUGGAUCUUGUGCGAAUUCCUUCAUUAAUGUCGCCAAUAAUGAGGUCUUUGGGAUGACUGAACUUAUGCUUCCAGUUACUGGUUGAUUUGUCAGGUUGAUGAUCACUUCCUUCAUUUGAAUCUUCAAUAACCAUUUGUUGCUGGUCUUUUAGAGUCUGAGUUGCUUCUUGAGAUUUAGACUUUGUAGAGUCUGGAGCAGGUUCAAAUUCUUCAAGAUAAGUCUGAGCAGAUUCAUUUUGCAUAGAAUCCUGGAAUUUGACAUUCAUUGAUUCCUCCACAGAUUGACUCUUCUUGUUAUAGACUCUGUAGGCUUUGCUUGAGAUAGAAUAUCCAAGGAAGAUGCCUUCGUCUGAUUUUUCUUCAAACUUACCAGCUCUAUCAUUUGCAUUUUUCAAUAUAAAGCAUUUGCAUCUGAACACAUGAAAAUAUGAAACAAUAGGCUUCUUUCCUUUGAAUAACUCAUAGGGGGUUUUUUCCAGAAUAGGCCUUAGAAAAACUCUAUUGAUAAUGUAACAUGCUGUUGAAACUGCUUCAGCCCAAAAUCGUGAAGAGAUGUUACUUUCAAUUAAAAGAGUUCUAGCCAUUUCUUGAAGCGAUCUAUUCUUUCUUUCCACAACUCCAUUUUGCUCUGGAGUAUAUGGAGAGGAGAACACAUGCUGAAAACCAGAUUCAUCACAGAAUUUUGUAAAAUCUUGAUUUUUAAAUUCACCUACAUGAUCUGUUCUUAUACUCGAUAUAACAUACCCUUUUUCAUUUUGAACCUUUUUAGCAAACUUUUCAAAGUAAGAAAAAGUUUCAAACUUACUUGCCAGGAAAUAUACCCAAGUAAAUCGUGAGUAAUCAUCCACAAUUACUAGGCAAUAUUUCUUACAUCCAAUGCUCUGAGUUCUGGUUGGUCCGAAAAAGUCCAUAUGCAGAAGCUGCAGUACACGAUUAGUGGAAACUUGAUUUAUUGGUUGAAAGGAAUUUCUUACCUGUUUUCCCAAUACGCAUGGUGUACAUAGAUCAAACUUUUGGUAUGACAAUUUGGGUAGACCACGAACAAGUUUUUUGCUGAAAUUUUGGCUAUUUACUUCAUAUUGAUGUGCCCAAGCUUUCUGUGCCAUAAGAUCGCUUCAUCUUGAAUUGAGAUUAGACAUUGCGAUUCAUCUAGUUUCACAUCCAAGAGGUAGAUAUUUCCAUGUCUUCGGCCCAUGAAUGACUGAGUAGAAUCUUUACUGGUUCCUGAACAUAUUCCUUCUUGAAAGUUGAUUUUGAAACCAGUGUCACACAGCUGACUGAUAUUGAGCAGAUUGUAGUUGAGUCCUUCCACUAGGGAAACAUUGCUUAAUGUAAGGUUUCCAAUCUUUACAGUUCCAAAUCCCACAAUUCUUCCUUUGUUGUUUCCUCCAAAUGAGACUUUUCCACCAUUUACUUGAACGAGCUUUAUGAAGCAAUUUGAAUCUCCUGUCAUAUGUCUUGAGCAUCCACUAUCCAGAUACCAUUUUACCUUUUUCUUGAUAGUGACUUGCAUUUAAAAAAGAGACUCAAGCUUUCUUUGGUACCCAUAUUUUCUUGGGUCCAUUGGUGUUAGUAUGAUAUGCGGUUUUUGCCCAUACUUUCUUAACAGGUUUCCAAACCAUAGGAUACUCUUUUUUAAAAUGAUCUGCACUAUUGCACUUUGAACAUCUGAGAGCAUUUCGACCCACUGGUUUUACAAACACUUUUUGAAAAUGAUUUUUGUAAAAUGUCUUUGGAGGUCUUUGCUUAAUUCUUUCAUUAACUUUAGGAAAAUCAAUUAAAGGAAUGGUUUCUGUUGUCAUUCCUAAACCAGAUUUAUUGAAAUAAGGUCUUUGUGCUGAAAGAAUUUUUUCAAGUUUCUCAGAUCCUAUUGAAAAUCUUUUUGAAAUAUUUGAUAAGUCAUUUUUUAAAAAUGCAUUUUCUUUCAAGAGAUUAUCUUCGCUUUCUUUAAGAGUAGAAACAUUAAAUGUUUCAACUUUUCUUUCAAAACAUUUUCCUGUUGUUUUAGUGCAGAGUUUUCUAUUUUAAGUUCAGAAAUCCUUUUAAGAGAAGUCUUAAGACUAAAACACAGCUCAUCAAUGUAUUUGGAAACUUUAACAGGGAUUUUAAAGUUACUUACCUCAAAUUCACUGUCUGAAUCUGAGUUUGUCUCGGAGUUUGAUUCUGAAUCCGAUUGUGCCAUCAGACAUAUAUCGGCAUAAUCAUCAUCACUUUCUUCACACUCUGUAUCACUACAGGUUUCUGCUUUAAGAGAUUUUCGAUUCUUUUAAGCUUUUCCUUUCUUCUUUCUCAGAAGAGGACAGUUUGGUCUGAUGUGUCCCUUUUUCUUACAUUCAAAGUAGACUACAUCUUUGUUUGAUUCAUCAUCAUCAACAGACUUGGUCUGUUGCUUUUGAAAACUCUGUUUCUUUGGAUUGAAUCUUCUUCUUUUUCUGUUCAGCUUUCUGAAUCUUCUUAUCAUAAGAGCAAGCUCCUCAUCAUCCAUAUCGUCUUCAGAAUCUGUGACAUCAGAAUCAUCAUUGGAUUUUAAUGCAAUGGAUUUCUUACCUUUAGGAUCUUCAUCUUCAUUGAUUCGUUCCACUUCAUAAGACUGAAGAGUUCCAAUCAACUCAUCAACAGAUAGUGGCAUGAUUCUUUAUGUCUCUCUUAUUGAGGUCUUUAUGUGAUUCCAAUCCUUGGAGAGUCUACACAGUAACUUGUUUACCUUCAUGGAAUCAGAAAUUGGUUAACCUUGAUUUUGAAGACCAUUCACGAUUUCUGUAAAACGACUAAACAUGUCAGUUAUAGAUCCUCUUGAUUUCAUUUUGAAUGCUUCAUAUUGACCGAGGAGAAUGUUGAUUUUGGUCUCUUUCACUCGAUCAGUUCCUUCAUAGGUGAUAUGUAAUCUAUCCCAGACUUAUUUUACUGUAACACAAGAAGAUAUUCUGUUAUAUUCAGUAGGUGACAAAGCACAAUGUAAAUAAUAAAUUGCUUUUGCAUCAAGAGCUUGUCUCUUGAUAAUCUCUUCCUGAGUCAUUUCACUUGACUCAACAGUUUCUUUUCCUUUCUCUGAGACAGAUGCAGCUUUAGGAGUGAUUCAUUUUUCUACAACGUCCCAUUCCAGAGGAUCCUUUGAUCGUAGAAACGCUUUCAUCUUGUUUUUCCAGAUGUUGUAAUCCUUUCCAUCAAAGUAAGGUGGUCUGGUAUUGCUUUGCCCUUCCACCAGCCCUGGAGUUAGCAUACUAGCCAUGGAUCUUUAACUCUGAAGUAAAAUACUUCAAACAAAGUGAGUACACAAGCUCUGAUACCAAUUGAUAUAGCUAGUAUAAGCACCUAGAGGGGGUGAAUAGGUGUAAAAAUAAUUUCUCGAGAUAUGAAAGCUAUACUAGACAAACAACAUAAAAGAAGCUCUCCUUUAGUUAACAAAUCGAACUAUGAUCAAAGUAAAGCAGAGAGUAGGGAAGAGAAAAUUGAACACAAGGUUUAUAGUGGUUCGGCUUAUUCCAAGCCUACGUCCACUCUUCUACACUGACAGCCCACUGGCUGGAUUUCACUAUGAACAAAAGAGAUGUUACAGCACUGCUUUCCAUUGAUUCCACAGUGUAGAUAUUCUACCGCACUUCCUCAAGGUAUCUCAAAAUAUAGACUCUCUUUUGUGUACAAGAUUUCGUUCAGUAAGUGAAUUGACUAAGAAUCAAAGAGCUUCAGACUUUGGAAUUCUUCUAUCGUGCACCACCUCGAACAACUAGAAUGUAUUCCUUUUAUACUCCUUUGUGCCAUCAUACCCGUUGGCACUUACCAAAGGAAUUAUUCCAAUCCUCCCGUUGGACAGAAUCAAUUAGGAAGAUCAUUCGAGCUAUUAAAGGAACAUGUCGAUAGCCCAUCAAUCCUGCUCGCCUAUACAAUCAAGAUCUUGGUUUCCAUAAGUAGAACAUUCCAAGAAUACUUCGCCAAUCAUCGGAUUUUUAAUCAUUCUUGAUUUGAAUAAAUGAAUCUGUUAUGUCAUAUCCAGCCAAGAGAUCUUCUCCAGUCGAUAAGGCCAAAUCCUUAAUGAAGCAGUUCUGGAUAGUCUAACUUCAACGGAUUAGAAACUGUCAAUGAGAAUAGAUUUUGAGUCUUGAUUCUGGUAGUCCGGAGGUCUUCAGACUUUUAUAGAAGAGUUUGCAAAACUUCAGACUAGACUGAUAAAAACGUUUUGUCAGCUUCAAAAUAUUCCAGAAAGAUUUCUCUAACAAAGUGUACUUUUUAUUGAUAUAUUGUGCAAUUAUAAAUAGAGAUAUUACUAUUUAUAAUUGGGUCUAUUCCUUCAAAAAUUUAUGAUUCACCAAAAACUGUUAUUCUUACGGUAGUCUAGAUACUAUUGUACUAGCAAAUACAAAAAAUAUAACAAUUUGAUUUACAUGGACAAGGAGGAACAAGGCAUUUGGAUUUUCAUUUAUUCCAUAGGAAGGACAUAUAUAUAGCACGUGGGACACCACCAAAUCACAGCUAAAUGACGCUUAACUAUUAUAAUUUUUUCAUUAUUACUGACCAUCACUGUCAAGAUGCCAUAGACUCCUGACAUACCUCUCGGAUCAGCUUUAUUACAACCCAAAAUGCCAUAACACAAACACAAGAACCCAAUCAAACUACGACCCAAGGAUGACCCGAAAUUCACACCUUAUUUUUGUAAAAGCUAGUUAUCAUCUCGAGUUAAGCCUUGAAGAAGGCCAAGAUCUUGUCCCUUGGAGGCAGAUUCUCCUUGAUGACAGGGCAAUUCUUAAAAUCUUCGGCCCACUUAUACAGCAUUGGGAACUUGUCCUCAGUCAGGACGUCGAACCCGGCCGCUUCUUGGAGGGCUCCGACCCAGUGCCCGAUGAAGCUGGCCACGAUAUCGACGAACCCGACGGUCUCGCCUCCGAAGAACUUCUUGCCUUUGAGCUCGCCUUCAAGAGUUCUCAAGAGCUCACACGCUUCGUCAUGUGCCUUUUCCCUUUCGGGCCCUACGCUCAUAUAGGAUUUCCAGAGAGCUGGCACGCACUGUUUACAGUAUAAAGAAUAAAUUUUGCUCGUUCAACUGAUCUUGUGAUCAUGAAUUAGAUCUAACUAGAGACGUGGUCACCAAUUCCAACUCAAAACUUAGACUUUGGUGGUGAUCAAAGUCUAAGACUAUUAUUAUUGAAAUGAAGAUUACAUCGGAAAUUCAAGCCCUAAAUGGCUUUUUUGUACACAGAAUGUAACAAAUCCUCAAUCUUUUCUCUUUUGUUUAGUAUAAUCUCAAAUCUUAUGAAGAUGCGAUGUGGUCCUUUCAUGAUUGUCAUGUUGGAGAAAUCACGGAAGCCUAACAUCUCAUCUUACUAAGAUUAGCACCAUUGCACUAACAAAAAAGAUUAUGACUUUAUUACCUUUUCACCGUCAAUUGUCUACAAACUUCCGAUAUCAUUACUUAAUUUCUGAAGUAUAUUCAUGAUUGUUAAGAAGAUGUAAAUUCUUUUUUUUUUUAAGACCUAGAUAUAUGAAUUUACUUUUAAGACAAUAACCAAUCUAGAUAUAAAAAAGAAUCACGAAUUCAGACACUCGCUCAUGCAUAUCAAUUAUGAUCUUACGGAUUGAAAAUAUGACCCCAUGUGCUCUGGAGUGUAGGUUCAAUUUUCCUUGACACGUGAACGACUUAAUUAGUGAAAUGGUUCUAAAUAAUAUUUGUGGACUUUAGAAUACUUAGUCUUUCAAAACCCAAAAAUACCCCCACAAAGACCGGCAUUGCGAAUACUCAAAUCUAAGGUUUCAUUUGUUUCACGGAAAAUAAUUUUUCGGAAAGCAUUUUCUGAUUUUAAAUUCGAGUUAUUUUUUUUCAUAGAGCUUGCCGAAAUCAUGAGUGGCCUCAAGCUCGUCAUCAAUUCUCAAGCUUGUGAGGCCUUGCUAGACCUGGUGGGCGAGCUCACUGUUGAUUUGCGAGCAGGCCUUGCCAGUGUAGCAAGCUCGAGCUCAAGCUUGCUAGCGGUUGGUGAGGCCUCAAGCUCACUUGGGGCCAGUGACCGUCUGAAGAAGAAGAUAUUGUCAUUAAACAUAAUUAAAAAUUCAAAUUUUAAAAUAAAUAAAAUAAAUAAAAAAUUUAUUAAAAUGAGUACAUGGAGGAAAAUCAAAUCGAAUUUUUCAUACCGAAUAGGAGAAAGUAUUUUCUAAUUCAUUUUCAAAUUUUAGCCGAAUGUAAAAAAAUGGUCAUUUUUCUGAAAAAUAUUUAUCAUAAAUGUUAUAUUUUUUUUGUGAAACAAAUGAAGUUUAUAUCAUAAUUCCGAGUUUCAAAUCUCACACUUUUCAAUGCCUUCCGCACAAGUCAAAGUCAACCCCAUAGUUUAUGCCGCAAUUAUGAGUCCGUUUGGUAAUGCUUCUGUUUCGAAGAACAAUUUCUUUUCAAAAAUAAUCAUUUUCUAUUUCUAUUCCCCGUAACAAUUUCUAAAUAAUAAAAAAUGUGUUUGGUAAUUAUACAAAAUUUCUAUUUUUGGAAUGGAGAAAUAAUAUGAAUAUGUUCGGUACGAUCCAUAAAAUUUCUAUUUCUUUUAAUUUUUUGAGAUUUUUUCGUUUUUCUUUUCUUGUUCUUCCUUGCUAGCGAUCAAUGAUUGCCACCUGCUGGCUGAUAGCUGACUGUCGCUUGCCACCCGCCGGUCGACCGUUGGCCACUGACUGCAGUCGUUGACCUCCAACCGACAACCAUCAGUCGGCUAAUGGGUGGCGAGUGCUAACUAGCGAUCGACCAGUGGGUAGCUUUAGCGGUAGGCGGUCGACUGGCGAAUGGCGAUUUGUAGUCAGCUGGUGAUAGCGGUAGGCAGUCAACCAACUAGCAGUGGCGGUCAACGGCGGUGGCCGAAUAGUAGGGGGCAACAAGGAAGAAGAAAAGGAAAAAAGAAGAAGAAGAAAAAAUAACUUAUUUCUAGAAAUUGUUCUUGGGAACAAUAAGCUACUAUUUUUUACUUUUUAGUUCUAUUCUAAAUCUAUUCUUCAAUCAAUUUUCUAUUCCGAGGAAUAGAAGAAUUAGUUGACGUUACCAAAUGAAUUUCUAUUUUUUUUUUCUAUUCUAGAGAGUAAAAGAACAAAAAAACCAAAGAACAGAAACGUUUCCAAAUAGCCUCCACAUUACCACAACAUAUGCAUAUUAAGUGUUAACACAACCCAAAUGAGUAAGUUAAGGAGAGCAUCAAGCUCAAUUUUAAGAUGAGAUGAUUACCUUUUCAUCGAUGAACUUAGCCCAGAAAUGGGCCAUUGCUUUCUUGUACGGAUCUCGUGGAAAAAUCAGGUUGUCAUUCCAUGUCUCGUCGAUGUACUCAAGAAUCACCUGAGACUC
rnacentral:lncRNA from 1 species